rnacentral:rRNA from 1 species
UACGAAGGGGGCUAGCGUUGCUCGGAUUGACUGGGCGUAAAGGGCGCGUAGGCGGUUCGUACAGUCAGACGUGAAAUUCCUGGGCUCAACCCUGGGGGCUGCGUUUGAUACGUGCGGACUUGAGUGCGGAAGAGGGGUCGUGGAAUUCCCAGUGUAGAGGUGAAAUGCGUAGAUAUCUGGAGGAACACCGGUGGCGAAGGCGACAUCCUGGACCGGUAUUGACGCUGAGGCGCGAAAGCCAGGGGAG